GACGUAGGGCGCGAGCGUUGUCCGGAUUUACUGGGCGUAAAGAGCGCGUAGGCGGCUUGUUAAGUGUGAAGUGAAAUCUCCAGGGCUCAACCCGGAAACUGCUUUACAUACUGGCAAGCUGGAGUGAUGCAGAGGUUUGUGGAAUUCCUGGUGUAACGGUGAAAUGUGUUGAUAUCAGGAGGAACACCCAUGGCGAAGGCAGCAAACUGGGCAUCAACUGACGCUGAGGCGCGAAAGCGUGGGUAGCAAACAGG
rnacentral:rRNA from 1 species